UUGCCAUAACCUAAGAAUUCCGUCCGCCGACAUAAUACUAAAUAGUGUCUUUCCUUGUCCAUUCUCUUGAAUAGAGCAUUCGUCUUUUGGUCGUUGGAUGCGUGCGGACUCACAACGCGUCCCGUUUCUUGAUUAUUUCUUUUUUAGGUAAACUCUCACAAUGGUAAACGGACGUAUCCCGUCUGUCUACAGUAAGACAUACGUGACGCCUCGUCGUCCGUAUGAGAAGGCUCGUUUGGAUCAAGAAUUGAAAAUAAUUGGUGAAUAUGGUCUGCGAAACAAACGUGAAGUAUGGAGAGUGAAAUACACUUUGGCCAAGAUCCGUAAGGCUGCUCGAGAACUCUUGACCCUUGAAGAGAAAGACCAGAAACGUCUUUUCGAAGGUAACGCUCUAUUACGUAGAUUGGUUCGUAUCGGAGUGUUGGACGAAAGUCGUAUGAAGCUUGAUUACGUUUUGGGUCUGAAAAUUGAAGAUUUCUUGGAACGCAGAUUGCAAACACAGGUGUUCAAGCUAGGUUUAGCCAAGUCUAUUCACCACGCUCGAGUUUUGAUUCGUCAAAGACAUAUUCGAUGAAAAACAAUUGUAUUCAAUGUCGGUUCAGUUAAAUUAAAUAUUACAGGCCACUUAAAAUGAUCAUUUGUAAAAAUGUCAUUUUAACGUCUGUUACAACAUAAUAAAUGUUGUGAAUUCUGUUAUUGGUCCCCAACAUAAAUCAUAUUCAUUCUUAUGACCGAAAAGAAUUCAUGUCCGUAAACAAGUCGUGAACGUGCCUUCAUUCAUUGUCCGUUUGGACUCACAGAAACACAUUGACUUCUCACUCAAGUCUCCAUUCGGUGGUGGCCGUCCUGGACGUGUAAAGAGGAAGAA